GCGGUGUUAGCUCAGUUGGUAGAGCACUGGAUUGUGAUUCCAGGUGUCACGGGUUCGAGCCCCGUACGUCGCCCCA
rnacentral:tRNA from 1 species